rnacentral:lncRNA from 1 species
CAAACAUUCUUAGAUAUUGGAAAAUUAAUGGACUUUCUUUGUGAGAAGUAGUCGUACAGAUGUAAAAGAAAAUUUUCGAGUUCGAUGGACAUUUAUGCCAGUCAUUUGCUGGUAAAUGUUUUUGAUAUAGAGAUAUCAACUUUUUUUAUGCAUACAAUACUACUAUCUUUUCUUUCUAAGAACAAGUCUUACAGAUGUAAAAGAAAAUCUUUGAGUUUGAGACAUGCAAGCUUUUCAACUGAUUUUUAGUUCGUUCUUAUGCUGACUGUUAUACCACUGUCCCAGGUUAGGGAGGUGGAUCCAAACAUGUUUAACCCCGCCACAUUAUGUAUGUAUUGCCUGUCAAGUCAGAUUCUGUAUUAUUUUUGUAUAAAUAAGACGGUUAGUUUGAUUGUUACAUUGUAUUUUGGGCUUUUAUAACUGACUAUGCGGUUGGGCUUUGUCAUUGUGAAGGCCGUACAUGACCAUACAGUCAAACCUGAUUAAACCGACCCUAAUAAACGGUUACCGUCCAUCGACCGAAAAUGAAAGUCCCUUUUUCUUCUUCAAGUCUUGUUAAUACCCUUAGUAACCGGACCCUGGAUCGAAUCCGUCUAAUUAUGAAGUCCUUGUUUUCAAAAUCCAAUAGGAACAUACCUUUUAUAAUUGUAAAUAAACCAAUGUUCAACGUUUCGAUUGGCCUUCUUCAGUUAUUUAUUAUUCCUCUAAACACAGGCGACAUUUCUUUUUUCAAACAUUGAAAAGAUGUUAUAGGUAAAUGUCCUUGGAAACAUCAUGACGUCAUAAUACUCUAACGUCAUAAUAAAAAUUAUGACGUUAGAGUAUUAACAGGUUUUACUGUAGUUGUUAAUUUCUGUAUAAUUUUGUUCUCUUGUGGACAGUUGUCUCAUUGGCAAUCAUCAUGAUCAUACCACAUCUUUUUUAUAUUUGCAUGUACACGGUAUGCAAUUGUGCCUCUUUCUCUUGAUAUUUUGGUACUGUAAAAUCAGAAAUUAUUGCAAUAUUGUUAAAAACGUGAACAAAAAAAUGGAAGAUUUUAACGACCUUGACAUGUAUGUUAUUAUACAGCCUCUGCACGGUAAUAAAAAAAAAAAAAAAAAAGUGACAGUAUCAUACAUGUUCGUAAUAAUAAAGACUUCUAUUCAUAGUUUCAGAUGUGAUUUUCUUAACAAAAUGUUUGCGAUCACAUUAAUAAGAUCUCAAUUUUAACCAGUCAGCAGUGAUUCUCAAUAAUAAAGAUGUGCAUAUGCAUUAAUUUCUGAAUUUAUAGUAUUAAAUACAAGCAAUCUAUUUGAUGGUGGUACAUGUUCUAUUAAUUCUUAAGGGAAGAUUAUCAGGACUUCUUCAAUUCACCAAAUUAUAUUUUAAAUGCUUCUGCUCUAAAUAGAUGAGAUUGAUUUUAUUGGAAAUUAAUACCCCUAUGGUAUGAAGAUGUGCUUUUAAGACUCUAAUAUCAAAUGAAUAUUGGGUUCUGAAAUAAUUUGCAUAUAAGGCAUAUCAAUCAUUCUGCUUAUGGUACAAAUCUAAUAAGUGCAAAUUUUAAAUAUUUAGCAUUUAAAUAGAUUACACAAAUGUUGUACACCAAAGCCACAGUAAACAAGAGGCUCUCAAGAGCCUGAAUUUUAAAUGUUAUUUUUUUUGCUUAAAUCUUUCAUCAAUGAUUAUUUUUGCUUUUCAAUAUAUAUUAAUGAGUGGCUUAAAAAUGCCAUUUAAAUGUUCAUUGUAUCUGUCAUUUUUUUUUCAAAAGCAAAUAAAUGCAUUUUACCCAUAUCAUAUUGUCUGUGUUUCUUGACGUACAAGGAAAUAAAAUACAAAAUGUAUACUAGAUUCAUUUGAGAAGAUUUUUAAAGUUAAAAAACAUAAACAACUUGUGUAAAAUUGUCCUUAAAGGGCAAUAACUUCUUAAGGGUCAAUUGACAUUUUUUGUCAUAUAAAACUUUUUUGUAGAUCUUACUUUGCUGAACAUUUUUGCUGUUUACAGUUUUAUCUUCAAUAAUAUUCAAGAUAAUAACCAAAGACUGCAAAAUUUCCUUAAAAUAACCAAUUUAGUGACAGCAAUCCAACAAUGGGUUGUUUGAUUCGUCUGAAAAUUCAGAGCUGAUAGAUCUUGACCAAUUGAACAAUUUUACCCCAUGUCAGAUUUGCUCUAAAAGCUUUAGUUUUUGAGAUAUAAGCCAAAACCUACAUUUGACCCCUAUGUUUUAUUUUUAGCAAUGGCGGCCAUGUUUGUAGAUGGAUCAAAACUUUGGAUACAAUUUAUAAACUAGAUACCCUAAGCAACAUUUAGUUAAAGUUUGAAGGUAUUUGGCCCAGUAGUUUUAGAGGAGAAGAUUUUUGAAAUAGUUUACGAUGACGACAGACGACGAUGGACGCCAAGUGAUGGCAUGAGCUCACAUGGGGCUAAAAAUUGAGACAAUUUCCUUGUUAACAAUUUAAAGGGAGAUAAUUUGACUUCUUACGUUAGAUAUCAUGGCCAUGUUUUGUUCAUAACUGGACAUGUAAUGCUUGCAACAUGAUAUUUUCUAAAGCAAUUUCAACAAAGCUUUAUCUGAUUUUUAUUUAAAAAAAUGGUCAUUCACAAAAUUAUUAUCUUUUGUUUUUAAAUGUUUUAAUGAUUUGAUAACUUUCAAAUCCACAAUACACAUUCAUGCAUUUUCCUUUAGAAGGCUUAUAUUCUUACGUCAUUGUUCAGUGACACAGUUGAAACCGUCUUACCUUGGGUAACUCAUUCAUAAAAAGCAUAUGCCAUUGGAGUAAGAUUGACAGCCAAAGCAUAUCAUGAUGUUGCUAAUUAUCAGCUGACAUAUCAAGUUUUUCUUAUUUUUCCAUGGUUGUGUACUCAAGGCAUUUAAAGAAAGUCAUAUUAGAAUAUUCUGUGGUUCAAAUUAGUGUGGGUCAGAGGUCUGGGACCUCUGUCAUUUCUAGCAGAGGAUUUUCAUUUUUAUAAAUUACAAAAGUCGAAAACCUACCAUUCAUUACAAUGAUUCCCUACCAUUCGUUACAAUGAUUCUUUAUACAUGACCAUUGAUUUCUUAUGAGGACCUGUUGCUUAAAAUUUCAAAUGAUCCUAGACCUUUCAUUAUUUAAAGCAAAUUUGAACCCCUGAUAUUGGUUGUGGUCUCCCAUUUAUUGUUUUGAAUUCAAAGUAUGAUAAUUUGUAUUUCUUUGAUAUUUUCCAGGUCAAAAGAUAUCUAAAGAUAAAGAGAGACAUACUGCCAUUGAGGAAUAGAAUUGUGCUACAUUGUUCAAAACAAUACAGAACUUACUCAAGG